rnacentral:rRNA from 1 species
UACGGGGGGGGCAAGCGUUGUUCGGAAUUACUGGGCGUAAAGGGCUCGUAGGCGGCCAACUAAGUCACACGUGAAAUCCCCCGGCUCAACCGGGGAACUGCGUGUGAGACUGGAUGGCUUGAGUUUGGGAGAGGAAUGCGGAAUUCCAGGUGUAGCGGUGAAAUGCGUAGAUAUCUGGAGGAACACCGGUGGCGAAGGCGGCAUUCUGGACCAACACUGACGCUGAGGAGCGAAAGCCAGGGGAGCAAACGGG